UACAGAGGGGGCAAGCGUUAUUCGGAAUUAUUGGGCGUAAAGGGCGCGUAGGCGGCUUGGCAAGUGGAUGGUGAAAUCCCUCGGCUUAACCGAGGAACGGCCGUCCAAACUGCUUCGCUUGAGACCGGGAGAGGUGAGUGGAAUUCCCAGUGUAGCGGUGAAAUGCGUAGAUAUUGGGAGGAACACCAGUGGCGAAGGCGGCUCACUGGACCGGUACUGACGCUGAGGCACGAAGGUCAGGGGAGCAAACGGG
rnacentral:rRNA from 1 species